ensembl:lncRNA
UUGGGAAGGAGGGUGUAAAGCAGCUUUCCUGCAUCUGGGCUGCCUUAGAGCGGAAUGAAAGGUUCAGGAAACGGAACGGAGGGUGUCGCUCCAGCCUUCCCACCGGGGGUCCAAGGGCGCCGCUCUUUGGGAACCCAGUCCGCAGAGGCUUCUGGUAUGACCAGCAAAAGCCAUGAGAGUUACUAUUGUCCCCUUCUCUGCUGAAAGGACUGGGAACAAAACAUUUCAGAGCCAAGAACAUCAUUGCAGGCUGGCCUCACACUACUUACAAUGAUCCUCUUCCUUCAGCUUCUCAAGUGACAGAAAGACAGGUAU